UCAAAGACCAGUGAAGCAACUCAGUGUUAUUCGCACAGAUCAAGUCUCCCUCUCUGGAUAGCAACAUGGCCACAAAACUGCCAUCUCAAGAGGAAUGUGAGAGCUGGACAGCUUUUCAAGUCGCAGACCUCCUAAGACAGUUUGGAAUGCCUGAAUCUGCUGUGCUCGUAGAAAAACUGGGUAUGGAUGGAUCUCAUUUUUUGUGACAGACUGAGAAGGAUAUAAAAAACAGUGAAUUUUGAGUUGGACUUCAGGACACAAACAGAUCACAUGAUUGGAACACAAGUACCUUGGAGAAAACCAGUCCUAUUUCCAUCACCAAUACACUAGCAGUUUUAUUGAGUAAUGCUUGAAGAAGGAAACUUGCA